rnacentral:lncRNA from 1 species
UAAGUAUGCUGCACUGUAAUUUAUAUUAGUUUUUUUCUUAUUAGGAGUCUUUCUUUGAAAUUGACAAGAGACAUGGACCAGGAAUCCAGAUGUCCCCAUGUCAGCCGAGUGCCUGGCAGCCCAUCGGCAGAUUGGCCCUUCCAGAGCAUAGAAGAGAAUGGAGGCUUUGAUCCUCUGCCAUUCAGAUUGAUGUUACAGGACUGCACUGCCGUGAAGACGCUGUUGUUAAAGAUGAAGAGAGUUCUCCAAGAGGAUAUAAUGAAAGAUGAAUGUUCUGUGCUCAAGCUACAACUGAAAGAGAGGGACGAACUCAUUUCCCACCUUCAGGAAGAGCUGGAAAAAGUGCAGCAUUUACAGAAGGCUUUUGCUUCAAGGGUAGAUAAAUCCACACAGACGGAACUUCUAGGCUAUGAUGUAAGUAGCUAUGUAAAAUGAAUUUUUAUCUUUUUUUAAUUGAUAUUCAGACCUCCACAGCUUAUUUACUUCUGCUAUUUCUGUGUCCAUGCAUUGAAUUAAUAGAUGUUAGUGGUACUCCUUUCAUCUUUUGCCUUGAAACAAUUCCAAAACACCCUCU